rnacentral:rRNA from 1 species
GUGAGUAGUUCAGAGUUUGUAUCCUGGCUCAGGACGAACGCUGGCGGCGUGCCUAACACAUGCAAGUCGAACGGAGUUGCCCUUCGGGACAACUUAGUGGCGAACGGGUGAGUAACGCGUGAGAAACCUGCCUUUCAGUGGGGGACAACAGUUGGAAACGACUGCUAAUACCGCAUAACAUAUUCGGGGGCAUCCCCUGAAUAUCAAAGCUUAAUGUGCUGAAAGAUGGUCUCGCGUCUGAUUAGCUAGAUGGCGGGGUAACGGCCCACCAUGGCGACGAUCAGUAGCCGGUCUGAGAGGAUGAACGGCCACAUUGGGACUGAGAUACGGCCCAG